GAUGAACGCUAGCGGCAGGCCUAACACAUGCAAGUCGAGGGGUAGAGGAAGCUUGCUUCCUUGAGACCGGCGCACGGGUGCGUAACGCGUAUGCAAUCUACCUUUUACAGAGGGAUAGCCCAGAGAAAUUUGGAUUAAUACCUCAUAGUAUUUUCGAAUGGCAUCAUUUGAUUAUUAAAGUUCCAACGGUAAAAGAUGAGCAUGCGUCCUAUUAGCUAGGUGGUAAGGGAACGGCUUACCAUGGCAACGAUAGGUAGAGGUCCUGAGAGGGAAGUCCCCCACACGGGUACUGAGACACGGACCAGAGUCCUACGGGAGGCAGCAGUGAGGAAUAUUGGACAAUGGACGCAAGCCUGAUCCAGCCAUGCCGCGUGCAGGAAGACGCAUCUAUGGUGUGUAAACUGCUUUUGUACGGGAAGAAACACUCCCUCGUGAGGGAGCUUGACGGUACCGUAAGAAUAAGGAUCGGCUAACUCCGUGCCAGCCGCCGCCGUAAAAC
rnacentral:rRNA from 1 species